GCAAGUCCUCGGUAGUGGCCUCCGGACACCCGCCCCUCAUCCACGCGGAUGAGGCGGCGCACCGUCCGUGGGCCUCGAUCGAAGGCUUGG
rfam:Kocuria kristinae strain RTTW2-3 contig00025, whole genome shotgun sequence.